rnacentral:rRNA from 1 species
UAAGGAAUAUUGGUCAAUGGACGCAAGUCUGAACCAGCCAUGCCGCGUGGAGGAUGAAGGUCCUCUGGAUUGUAAACUUCUUUUAUUUGGGAAGAAACCCGAGAUUUCUAUUUCGGUUGACGGUACCAGAUGAAUAAGCACCGGCUAACUCCGUGCCAGCAGCCGCGGUAAUACGGAGGGUGCAAGCGUUAUCCGGAUUCACUGGGUUUAAAGGGUGCGUAGGCGGGCAGGUAAGUCAGUGGUGAAAUCCCCGAGCUUAACUUGGGAACUGCCGUUGAUACUAUCUGUCUUGAAUACUGUGGAGGUAAGCGGAAUAUGUCAUGUAGCGGUGAAAUGCUUAGAUAUGACAUAGAACACCUAUUGCGAAGGCAGCUUGCUACACAGUCAUUGACGCUGAGGC